AUUCCAUGAGGUGGGCAUUUUCUCAAUAUUUCCUUGAACCUUUCCUAAGCAUUGUACAAAGAUUCAAACUCUAGCUGCACAAAAGAUUUGAUGUCAUUCCUCAACUU